rnacentral:rRNA from 1 species
GAUGAGCGCUGGCGGCGCGCCUAACACAUGCAAGUCGAACGGUUAAAGCACCUUUUAGGUGUGUAUAAAGUGGCGAACGGCUGAGUAACACGUGGGCAACCUGCCCUCCUCUUGGGGAUAGCCUCGGGAAACCGAGGAUAAUACCCGAUACUUCAAUGUGGCCGCAUGACGACAUUGAGAAAGCUUUUGCGGAGAAGGAUGGGCCCGCGGCCUGUUAGCUUGUUGGUGGGGUAGAGGCCUACCAAGGCAAUGAUGGGUAGCUGGGUUGAGAGACCGACCAGCCAGAUUGGGACUGAGACACGGCCCAGACUCCUACGGGAGGCAGCAGUGGGGAAUCUUGCACAAUGGGCGAAAGCCUGAUGCAGCGACGCCGCGUGCGGGACGAAGGCCUUCGGGUUGUAAACCGCUUUCAGCAGGGACGAGGCGAAAGUGACGGUACCUGCAGAAGAAGCCCCGGCUAACUACGUGCCAGCAGCCGCGGUAAUACGUAGGGGGCAAGCGUUAUCCGGAUUCAUUGGGCGUAAAGCGCUCGUAGGCGGUCUGUUAGGUCGGGAGUUAAAUCCGGAGGCUCAACCUCCGCCCGCUCCCGAUACCGGCAGACUUGAGUUUGGUAGGGGAAGGUGGGAAUUCCUAGUGUAGCGGGCGGAAUGCGCACAUAUUAGGAAGAACAUCAGUGGCCGAAGGCGGCCUUUCUGGUCCAUAACUGACGCUGAGGAGCGAAAGCUAGGGGAGCAAACUGG